CGGUCAGGGAUGGGCUCGCGGCCUAUCAACUUGUUGGUGGGGUGAUGGCCUACCAAGGCGACGACGGGUAGCCGGCCUGAGAGGGCGACCGGCCACACUGGGACUGAGACACGGCCCAGACUCCUACGGGAGGCAGCAGUGGGGAAUAUUGCACAAUGGGCGCAAGCCUGAUGCAGCGACGCCGCGUGAGGGAUGAAGGCCUUCGGGUUGUAAACCUCUUUCAGCAGGGAAGAAGCGCAGGUGACGGUACCUGCAGAAGAAGCGCCGGCUAACUACAUGCCAGCAGCCGCGGUAAUACGUAGGGCGCACGCGUUGUCCGGAAUUAUUGGGCGUAAAGAGCUCGUAGGCGGUCUGUCGCGUCUGGUGUGAAAACUCGAGGCUCAACCUCGAGCUUGCAUCGGGUACGGGCAGACUAGAGUGCGGUCAGGGGAGACUGGAAUUCCUGGUGUAGCGGUGGAAUGCCCAGAUCUUCAGGAGGAACACCGAUGGCGGAAGGCUGGUCUCUGGGGCCCGCAACCUGACGCUGAGGAGCGAAAUCUUGGGGAGCGAACAGGAUUAGAUACCCUGGUAGUUCAUGCCCGUAAAACGUUGGACACUAGGUGUGGGGCUCAUUCCACAGAGUUCCGUGGCCGGCAGCAAACGCAUUAAGUGACCCGCCUGGGGAGUACGGCCCGCAAGGCUAAAACUCAAAGGAAUUGACGGGGGCCCGCACAGCGGCGGAGCAUGCGGAUUAAUUCGAUGCAACGCGAAGAACCUUAACCAAGGCUUGACAUGCACGGGAAUCCACCAGAGAUGGUGGUCUCUUUGGACACUCGUGCACAGGUGGUGCAUGGUAGUCGUCAGCUCGUGUCGUGAGAUGUUGGGUUAAGUCCCGCAACGAGCGCAACCCUCGUCCCAUGUUGCCAGCGGGUUAUGCCGGGGACUCAUGGGAGACUGCCGGGGUCAACUCGGAGGAAGGUGGGGAUGACGUCAAAUCAUCAUGCCCCUUAUGUCUUGGGCUUCACGCAUGCUACAAUGGNCGGUACAAAGGGCUGCGAUACCGUAAGGUGGAGCGAAUCCCAAAAAGCCGGUCUCAGUUCGGAUUGGGGUCUGCAACUCGACCCCAUGAAGUUGGAGUCGCUUGUAAUCGCUAGAUC
rnacentral:rRNA from 1 species